UUACCUGGGGCAAAGGAAGUUAUCUUUCCUUCUGUUUUGUGCUGUUUUUCAGACCUUAUGGAUUCACCCAGAAGGUGAACCCAUAAUCAAGUCUUUAUUGGGGACUUCUUGACAAGACCAGCUCCAGCCACUGUUCCUGGCCUCAUGCAAGGUGUUCUAGAAAGGGUUUCCUUCAGCCUCACAGCAGGAUAAGGAACCAAGUGCUCCAGAGAGCCAAGUGAAUUGUUAUCUGUCACAGCAUCCCAAUGUUCAUCUCUUAAUACUUGUGGGUGUGAUACAAACCACCUAGAAGAGAUUAACUGUGUCUUUCACUGCCCAGACUAGACUGUUUCCUGUGUUCCAUCAGUGCAGUUCUGCUGCUGCACAUUUUGGUUUGGUAAGUGCUAAGACAAAGAUUAUUUCCUAGUGAUUUUACAAUGCUUACU
rnacentral:lncRNA from 1 species